GUGGGGUUGUUUUUGUCCAAUCAGGACGUGCAAUACACAGACAUCGAUUACCUGGAGCGCCAGCUGGACUUCAAGCUGAGCCCGCGCUUCUCCGGCCUGCCGGAACUCAUCAACAAAAUCCGGGCGGAAGGCAUGAGAUACAUCCCCAUUCUGGACCCGGCCAUAUCAGCAAAUGAAACCGAUUACCUCGCUUUCACCAGGGGAAGGGAGAAGGACGUCUUCAUCAAGUGGCCCAACUCCGAGGACAUCAUCCUUGGGAAGGUCUGGCCAGAUUUCCCCAACAUCGCGGUCAAUGACUCCGUCGACUGGGACACGGGAGUCGAGAUUUUUGUCUGAAUUUCU